rnacentral:lncRNA from 1 species
CUAGCACCUGGGGCCAGUUGGCAGUGCCGGCUGGCCAGCCUCCUAGAGCCAGGGCUGGCUGCAGCAGGCUCCGCGAGCGGGCGGGCGGGCGGUCGGAAGCCGAAGGGGACCCGCCCGCCCGCUCCGCUCCGAAGCGCGCCCGCCCUGGAGGCCAGGACCCCAGGGGGCAGAAGUGGGUCUGGCUUUGCAUUGGCCGACCAGCGGGAGGGAGCCAGCCAGGGGCAGCCAGUUGCAUCCUCCCGGGAACUGCCAGCGGAGGCUUUUGGGGAGCGCGCUGCCAACUCUUGGCUUGGCCGGGGGAGACCUGCCGUCUCUGUGGCUCCAGCCGGCCAGCAGGCUGCAGGGUCGGGCGCAGCGGCCGUGGGGCUCUGGAGCUUGCUGCCCUGCCCGUGGGCGGGGCCUCCACGGGCCAGCCAGGUGGCACAGGGUUCCUGGGGCUGCGCCUCGUCCCGGCGCGGCCCGGCCCAAGGGAGGUGGGGGGAACCUCGGAGGCGCCCAGGAACGCAAGAGGGCCCAGACUGCGGCCCUGCCGGCCCUCGGAGAGGGCCCACGCGUGUCUGCUCGGGCUCAGGAGGCCACGGUGGGACAGCCAGUACCCCAGCACCGAGCUCAUCUCGCGUGGACCACCCAGUGCGCGUCAGGAGUAGGUGUGUCCCAGCAGGAGCCCCUAGGAACAGCCCUGCCCUACCAGCUCUUAGCACAGGGAGUCCUGGUCUGCACAUGCAUGAGCCAGGGAGCCAGAGAGCCAGAGGAGGACGCUGCCGUGGGCUCGAACUGUCCUCAGAGAAUGUUGGUAUGACCCGGGGAUCCAAGGGAGGUGGGGGGAACCUCGGAGGCGCCCAGGAACGCAGGAGGGCCCAGACUGCGGCCCUGCCGGCCCUCGGAGAGGGCCCACGCGUGUCCGCUCGGGCUCAGGAGGCCACGGUGGGACAGCCAGUACCCCAGCACCGAGCUCAUCUCGCGUGGACCACCCAGUGGGCGUCAGGAGUAGGUGUGUCCCAGCAGCAGCCGCCCCCCACCCCGGGCACGGCCCCUCCCUAG